UGGGGAAUAUUGCACAAUGGGCGCAAGCCUGAUGCAGCCAUGCCGCGUGUGUGAAGAAGGCCUUCGGGUUGUAAAGCACUUUCAGCGAGGAGGAAGGUGGUGAGCUUAAUACGCUCAUCAAUUGACGUUACUCGCAGAAGAAGCACCGGCUAACUCCGUGCCAGCAGCCGCGGUAAUACGGAGGGUGCAAGCGUUAAUCGGAAUUACUGGGCGUAAAGCGCACGCAGGCGGUUUGUUAAGUCAGAUGUGAAAUCCCCGGGCUCAACCUGGGAACUGCAUUUGAAACUGGCAAGCUAGAGUCUCGUAGAGGGGGGUAGAAUUCCAGGUGUAGCGGUGAAAUGCGUAGAGAUCUGGAGGAAUACCGGUGGCGAAGGCGGCCCCCCUGGACGAAGACUGACGCUCAGGUGCGAAAGCGUGGGGAGCAAACAAGAUUAGAUACCCUGGUAGUCCACGCUGUAAACGAUGUCGAUUUGGAGGUUGUGCCCCUUGAGGCGUGGCUUCCGGAGCUAACGCGUUAAAUCGACCGCCUGGGGAGUACGGCCGCAAGGUUAAAACUU
rnacentral:rRNA from 1 species